rnacentral:rRNA from 1 species
AUGCGCCGAACUGACAAUUUUGUUACUCUGUUCAGGUUGCAAUCACAACGAGCAACAAAUGUAUGCACUGAAACUACUGGAGUAAGGAAUGGCAUGAUAUUCUCAUGGCAAAAUGAGGAUGGGGCAUUAUGUGAUCCAACAUCUGUUCUAUCAGCAGGGUUGAUGGCAUUCUAUGGUAAUACCAAGAAUCCAAACAUCAUCCCUGAAGGUAGCAUCAACACCGGCCUCGAUCAGUGUCGGGGCAAUGGUGAACCGACAAAGAAGGCAGCUCGGGUAGUGUGGCACAUGACAUCGACACCGGCCACGACCAACGUCAAAGGAUGGGUCGUUGGGAUGGAAGGAUGA